CACAAAACACAAUCUGCAAAAUGCCAUUUUUCAUCCCUUUGUUCUCCUUCAUAGUAGUCUUCUUUACAUGACAGUUUGAAGCUUUUGUGUUGGGAUUUUGGGAACGGUUUGUGAAUGAAAAGUGUAGUUGAUGUCUUGGGCUUCAUUUUGGUAGCAAAGUUGCAAUCAUUUCUUCACUGCUGGGAUUUUAAAAUCUUAUUUGAAAAGGGAAGGGUUGGUUGAAUUUCAAGAGGUGUUCUUCAUCUUUUUGCAAAAUUGGUAGCUUACUUUGGAUUGCUUUAAAUUGUUGGUAGCUGGGUUUUCAAGCUGCAAAGAGGUUAUGGACAAGAGGUCGUAGAGGGAUUUCCUCCACAGCCAUGGAUGGAUGUUGGAUUCUAUUUGGUUAUUUAUCUUUGUCUAAAUGGGAAAUGUAUAUUUUGAGACCAGUAUGUAUAUUUGUAAAUAUUUUUCCAAACAGAUCGUGUUUAAAUAUUGUAAUUAAAGGAUUAUGGGAUUUUACGUAUGAAACCUCCUUUCAUAUUUUUAGAUAAA